rnacentral:misc_RNA from 1 species
CUGCCCGUCUCAAAGGAAAUGCAUUAGAGCUAUUUUAUCAGAGCUUCACUGCAAACGAUUUCUUUAAACAUGUAAAGAUGGUAUGCAGGUGUCUGCCAAAGAGCAGAUAAUUUUUCGACAAAAUUACUGGAAGAUCAUCUAGUUCUAUCUAUGCAACUAGAAGAAGAGAAUAAAGAACAAGAAGACAAAUUCUAACACAUAAACACACAUUCAUACACAAACUACCUUGAAAAUCUAUAGCCUAUAUUGCAGUGAUUGUCAGCAAAGUAAAAUGCCAAGUUGAGGCAUUAAAGUUAGUUCUAAGCAUUGGUCAUGCUGUUGCUGCCUGUAGUUAGAUUUUAGUGUAAUUUUUUCAAAUCAAUAGCAAACAAAACAUAUUUAACCGAUAAUAAGUGAACCAGAGAACUACUCCAUUGCAUAUUCUGAUCGAAUCAAAUCAUUCAAAAAAGUUGUUGGUAAUAACCCUUCUGAGUUUCAACUAUACAGAAUAUUGAUUUAUAGAGCUAAUGCAAAGUUAUCAUAGUUAAAGAACUCUAUCCUAAUAUAACAAGAGCAAAAGCAAAAAAUUGGUAGCUCAAAAAUGUAAGGAAAAGAACUGAACCUUCAAAAUUCUUGAGCUAUCUCCAAGUCCUGUUGUGAACCAAAAGCUGCUGAAAUCAUAGAAACAAUCUUCCUCUGUGAAUCUAAAAUCAUCUCCAUCCGCUUAUUCUCCAUCUCCAUUCUCCACUUCUCAGUCUCCUUCGUCAUCUCCAUCUUUUUACUCUCCAUCCCUACUAUUCUCUCUGCAAACACCCUUAUUUCCUCUGCCAAUCCCAAUUCCACCCCUUCCCUUUUCUCUCCUUCUUCUUCAUCAUCAUUCUCCUCUACCAUUUCCACUCUCUUCCUCUUAUUCAUGGCCUCUCGCAAAUACCCAGAAUCACUCCCUGCAAACCGAUUGACAAUGGUGGGCUUUCGCAGUAUACAAUUAAUACUUCGCGACUUACUUCUAUGCCCAUAAUCAUCCUCUUCUUCGUCCUGGUCGUGUUCCACCUCCGCUUCAUCCUCAUUGUCUUCAUCUUCAUCAACAGUAUCAUUAGGAAAUACAAGAGCCAAGGGGCGCGCAGAGAUAGGCACUGGACCCCGUUCCAACGAUUCCAUGAGGUCAAAGUACUGCCAGGAACACACGCCGGUGAGGGAAAUACGCCGUUUCUCCUCGCGGAAGCGUUUCCGGAGCUUCUCCAUCUUGUGGCGGCACUGAAUGACGGUUUUGGCUGGGUGGUUGUGAUCACAGCCACAGCGAGCGGCGGCGGUUACAGCCACCUCUUCCCACUGGCUGGCCUUAAGCUGCCCUUGUUUUAAAGAGUACCACUUUUCCUGAUAAGAUUGGAUUAGGUGGACUGUUUCUUGGUGGGUCCAGGGAACCGGAUGCGAUUUCUUGGUGGAGAGGGGUCUGGAGUUUGGGGGUGGUGACUGUGAUGGUGGCUCUGAUGGAGGUGGAGGAGAGGGAGAUGGAGAUGCUGUGGACAUAGUGGAAAUGAGGAUAGGUUUUUGUGAGUGAAGGAAUGUGGUUUUUGUUGCUUGGGUUGAGUGGUGAUAACGGCGGCGGCGGUGGCCAACGUGGCGGUGGUUGUUGUUACUCGGUGGAAGGUGUGCCAGCUACGCUUGCUCCCGUGGGGAGAGGGGAAGGCUGUAGGUUUAAGCGG